GGCUAUCGCCUGGGACUCCUUGGAAGCGUGAGCAAGCCGCCACCACGCGAAGGCACUGGGGCACAGCCAGCGCGAGGCACCGAGGUCCCUUCCCAGGGCUUGUUAACACUGUAACCCAGCACUCCGAAGGAAACAGCUCCCACUGCCCAGAGCCUACCUCACUGUUCAUCAGAUGACUCCCAGGCUUCCACACACAGUUGGAGUUCCGCUUGAAACCUGGAUUUAGAGGGGCUCUCUAGCUGCCAUGACACUCAAUCAAAGUACCUAGAGUGGGCUGGUCGAGACCAGAGGGUGUAUGAAGCAGAGGAAGUGCAGAGGAAGGCACCAGAAUUGGAGUUAGAGCAUCCAUUUGGAUCUGAGCAGGAAGCAGCCUAGCACAGCUUCGGAUCCUUCUUUAGGGAAAUCGAGUUAUGGAUUUAUGGUCCCGGUCAAGCUCAGCCCAGCCCCAAGCAGGGGCGGGCUCAGCAGCAAGAGUUCUGGUGGCGGCGGCGGCGGCAGCAGCAGCAGCAGCAGCGGCAGCAGCGGCAGCAGCGGCAGCAGCGGCGGAGCGGCAGCUUGGUCCUCUGACUCUCUUCGGUGACGGGUAUUCUUGGGUGGAUAAUACGGAUUACGUUGUUAUUGCUUAAGAAUACGCGUAGUCGAGGAGAGUACCAGCGGCAGGCGGGCAGCAGCAGCCGCCCCUCCCAACCCACCAACUGGCCUCUAAACGUUGCCAAGGUAGCACUUUUUUUUUUUUUUAAUCUUUUCAUUUCCUUGAUGUUUUCGCUUUGGUCGCAUGUCGAGUGAUUCCAAGACAUCCCACCAGAGAGGUUUCAAUCGCCUCACCUCGGGUGACCCGA